CCCUUAGAUGUCCUGGGCUGCACGCGCGCUACAAUGAUGCAUACAAUAUAUUGGUGUACGAAAGUAUAGCACAUUAAUAUGUAUCUCGAUGGGGAUAGAUUAUUGUAAUUAUUAAUCUUGAACGAGGAAUGCCUAGUAAGCACAAGUCAUUAGCUUGUACUGAAUGCGUCCCUGCUCUUUGUACACACCGCCCGUCGCUCCUGCCAAUGGGUUGUGAAGUAAGAUUUGAUUAAUUUCUCAAAAAUGUGUUGUGGACUUUAAUCAUAUCGAGCUAUGCAAUUUAGAGGAAGGAGAAGUCGUAACA
rnacentral:rRNA from 1 species